UACAGGGGGGGCAAGCGUUGUUCGGAAUUACUGGGCGUAAAGGGUCUGUAGGUGGCCAACUAAGUCAGACGUGAAAUCCCUCAGCCUAACUGGGGAACUGCGUCUGAUACUGGAUGGCUCGAGUGUGGGAGAGGAAUGCGGAAUUCCAGGUGUAGCGGUGAAAUGCGUAGAUAUCUGGAGGAACACCGGUGGCGAAGGCGGCAUUCUGGACCAUAACUGACACUGAGAGACGAAAGCCAGGGGAGCAAACGGG
rnacentral:rRNA from 1 species